rnacentral:rRNA from 1 species
UACAGAGGGGGCAAGCGUUGUUCGGAAUUACUGGGCGUAAAGGGCGCGUAGGCGGCCCGCUAAGUCGAACGUGAAAUCCCCGGGCUCAACCCGGGAACUGCGUCCGAUACUGGUGGGCUUGAAUCCGGGAGAGGGAUGCAGAAUUCCAGGUGUAGCGGUGAAAAUGCGUAGAUAUCUGGAGGAAUACCGGUGGCGAAGGCGGCAUCCUGGACCGGCAUUGACGCUGAGGAGCGAAAGCCAGGGGAGCAAACGGG